UACGGGGGGGGCAAGCGUUGUUCGGAAUUACUGGGCGUAAAGGGUUCGUAGGUGGCCAACUCAGUCAGACGUGAAAUCCCUCAGCUCAACUGGGGAACUGCGUCUGAUACUAGAUGGCUCGAGUGCAGGAGAGGAACGCGGAAUUCCAGGUGUAGCGGUGAAAUGCGUAGAUAUCUGGAGGAACACCGGUGGCGAAGGCGGCAUCCUGGACCGGCAUUGACGCUGAGGAGCGAAAGCCAGGGGAGGCAAACGGG
rnacentral:rRNA from 1 species